ACUUCCCAAGCACUUGCACAAUUCACACACUCAUCCUCUCCAACGAAAAACCCUAAGUCUCGGUUUUCUCAGAAAUUUCACGCUCAUGGCCGCCGCCGUCGCUCUUGCUCCACUUUCACCGCCGCUCCUGCGCUGUUCACCUCGUCGUCGCUCGUGCUCGUGCUCGUGCUCUACUAUUUUAUCUGUCCCUUGCUAACUCUCUUUCUCUCUUUGUCUCCAAAAGGAUCUUCAUACACUACCACUCUUGCGCAACGUGCAAUUCAUAAAAGGGAAGGCUUGGAGGAAGAAGAUAACCUACCACUUUCAUCUGAACUUUAAAUACGCUUAAUUUAUGGAUCUUCAUACACUAUCAAAGGGAAGGCAUUGGAGGAAGAAGAUAACCUAACACCCUUGCGCAGCUUGCGAUUCAUACAAGGCAGGAUGGAGUUCUAAACUUGCUGCGAUUUACAUUUGGGGGAAAAAAAUACAUGGUUUGGGUUGGAACUUGCGGUUUCAUCUCCUCUAUAAGCCUCGACAUCUCAGGAUAGAGGGAGCAAUCAACUUUGCGUUUCCCUUCUGUGGACAUGAAGCUGCUUGAAUCAAGAGGUACAUCCCUAUCUGUCUAAGUUUGAAGCUGCUGAAUGAAGGGUUUGACACAUGUGCUUGUGGGUAAAAUCGUUGUUGGGACUUAACUUUAUGGGUUCUCACUAUUUUCAACAAUAAUCUUUACUGAAUUGCUACCAUAUGUUGCUUUAAAACCUUGCUUGCAUGAGUUAAAUAUGAGGAUUCAAGCCUUUAAAGUUUAUUUUAGCUUGAAAUCCAUGUUAUGUUUUAGUACCCUUUCCUUGUUUUGUCAAUUUACUUACAUAUUGAUGAAUGCUUUGAUUUAAGCUUGACUAUGCUUUUAAAUUGAGAAUUCAUUUACUGAACUGCUACUAAUUGGUUGCUUAUUGUGUGUGUUAGAAACAUGGAUGUGCCUGAAAAUAGGAAAUCAAUGGACAAUAGAUUCCUCAUAGGAAUCUAUUAGCGAGGGAAUGAAAAUAAAAAUGUCAGGCUAUUAGCGACGGACACUUCCGUCGCAAACAGCGACAGACUGCUAUGUUCCGUCUUAAAUAGCGACAGAGUAUUCCGUCGCAAAUAGCGACGGCUAGUUAUGUUCUGUCGUAAAUAGCGACAGACUCUCCCGUCGGAAAUAGCGACGGAUAUAUGGGAUAAUCCUGUAAAGAUUUAGCGACGGAAAUAUAUAAGUUAGCGACGACCAUUUUUCGUCGCUAAUACCGACGGAUUUAAUUUUCCAUCGUUAGAUUUUUAGCGACGCCACUUAGCACGGCGGAUGGCGUUCCUUCGGUAAUUCCGUCGCUAAAUGUUUUGCGACGAAUUUUUGCUUAUUUAGCGACAGAUUUUGUCUCUCGCUAAAUAGCUUAUUUUAGUAGUGGUACUGUUUGAUUGAGACCUUUUGCCGUAAAGAUGUAAUAUGUCAUAUUGUAAGUAGCGUAGGUCUGAACUUCUAUCCGUUGGUGUACAAAUAUGACAAUUUGAUAGUGACACCACCGUCCUUUCUCUUCAUCAUAACAAUUGUGGCAGACAUGUGAUUUCUUCUAUGGAACUUUUGUACAAAACUUUCUUAACUUCUUCGGAAAGUAUACUUGAUUUGACUUUGUAGCUUGUCUUUAUAUAUAUUUUAAUGGGGGUUGUCUAAAUAACCUUGAUAAAAACCGGGUUAAAUCACUUUUUAAUGAGGUGUUCCAAUGGUAUUGUAACAUGAGUUUUUAUAAAUUCCAACUCAUUUCAAUAUUUUUUUUUUUUAUAUUUUCAUAAUACUCAUUUUAUUAAAUAAUCUAUUUGCAUAAUAAACCAAUCAAUUGAGAUAAUAACACAUAACUCCUUUUAAAGAAAAACCCUAAGAAUCCUUACGACAUUUGGAAGCUCUCCAAGCUCUGCCAUUUUUUUUCUACCUACCAUAGGUGCAGCAGCACUAAAUGUUUUUAAAAUAUAAGAAUAAUUGUCAUAUGGAACAAAAAUUAAAUCAAUUUUUUUAAGUUUAAGAAAAUAAUAGGACAAUUGGGUUAUGUCUAAUUUUCAGCUUUGCAAGUGUUGAGGGACUGCAACAAUAAUUGAAUAUGGUAUCAAUCCUUGUUGCUUAAGUUUUGCACACUAAGAUUAAUUGUGAGAAGACCUUUUCUAUUUUCUU